ACUCCUACGGGAGGCAGCAGUAAGGAAUAUUGCGCAAUGGGCGAAAGCCUGACGCAGCGACGCCGCGUGGGGGAUGAAGGUCUUCGGAUUGUAAACCCCUUUCGGGAGGGAAGAUGGAGCGAGCAAUCGUUCGGACGGUACCUCCAGAAGCAGCCACGGCCAACUUCGUGCCAGCAGCCGCGGUAAUACGAAGGUGGCAAGCGUUGUUCGGAUUCACUGGGCGUACAGGGUGUGUAGGCGGUUUGGUAAGCCUUCUGUUAAAGCUUCGGGCCCAACCCGGAAAGCGCAGAGGGUACUGCCAGGCUAGAGGGUGGGAGAGGAGCGCGGAAUUCCCGGUGUAGCGGUGAAAUGCGUAGAGAUCGGGAGGAAGGCCGGUGGCGAAGGCGGCGCUCUGGAACAUGCCUGACGCUGAGACACGAAAGCGUGGGGAGCAAACAGGAUUAGAUACCCUGGUAGUC
rnacentral:rRNA from 1 species